UCGGCAAAACCUCCACAGGAAGCGGCGCUCCGCACGGGGCCGGGGCCACUGCCUGCAACCAGCCUCUUGCUAGUGAUGGGUCCUCUCCCCUCCACCCCCGGGCACGCGGAGAAGCCCUUGCUGGCAGAGGGCAGCGGACGAGGUCUCUCUCCUGGAUGCUGUGACGUCUGGAAGGGACAGCUGUAGCCACUGAGGCCGUUCGGGCCACACGGCCGAGCAACGGUGUGGACCGAGUGACUGGAGCAAGCGACAGGACCUAGGGGACCCGCGAGCCGGCGCCCGCACCAGCGCACCGCAGCUGGCCAGCCUUCCGGGCCCCGAAGCUGCCUCUGCUCGCCCGGCCUCCGUGCACCACGGAUCUCCGGGACGGGGCGGGGGCACCUUCGCCACCACCACACACCUAGGCCAGAGGACCCCUCCCCUGAGAGUAUCCGGAAGUUUGUCACAAAAGGAUUCUUUGUAAAUUCUAUCAGGCGUUUUUACAUAAGAUCUACAAUGCAGAUGGCUCCAGGGCAACCGUUCAUUCUACACAGUGAGGGGUACAGAGUCUGGGAGAAGGCAGCUCCGGCUGCCAGCAGUGGAACGGGCCGCGUGUCCUGGACGGCGCCAGCUGAGCGCACGCGGCCCUGUCCGACGGCCGCACCGUGUCCUCUGAAACAGAAGCGCUAAUCGGAUCAACAGAAGAGAAGGCUUCCAGCCAACAGAAUCCCCAGCCAGCCCGUGUGCUGGAGAAAACAAGACC